rnacentral:rRNA from 1 species
GGCGAACGGGUGAGGAACACGUGAGGAAUCUGCCUUCUACACUGGGAUAACUCCGGGAAACCGGGGCUAAUACCGGAUAUGAAACUUGGUGGCAUCACCGAGUUUGGAAAGUUUUUCGGUAGAAGAUGACCUCGCGGCCUAUCAGCUUGUUGGUGAGGUAAUGGCUCACCAAGGCGACGACGGGUAGCCGGCCUGAGAGGGCGACCGGCCACACUGGGACUGAGACACGGCCCAGACUCCUACGGGAGGCAGCAGUGGGGAAUAUUGGGCAAUGGAGGAAACUCUGACCCAGCGACGCCGCGUGCGGGAUGAAGGCCUUCGGGUUGUAAACCGCUUUCAGUAGGGAAGAAGCGAAAGUGACGGUACCUACAGAAGAAGCACCGGCUAACUAUGUGCCAGCAGCCGCGGUAAUACAUAGGGUGCAAGCGUUGUCCGGAAUUAUUGGGCGUAAAGAGCUCGUAGGUGGUUCGUUACGUCGGAUGUGAAAAUCUGGGGCUCAACCCCAGACCUGCAUCCGAUACGGUCGAGCUAGAGUUUGGUAGGGGAGACUGGAAUUCCUGGUGUAGCGGUGGAAUGCGCAGAUAUCAGGAGGAACACCAAUGGCGAAGGCAGGUCUCUGGGCCAAUACUGACACUGAGGAGCGAAAGCGUGGGGAGCGAACAGGAUUAGAUACCCUGGUAGUCCACGCCGUAAACGGUGGGCGCUAGUUGUGGGAACCUUCCACGGUUUCUGCGACGCAGCUAACGCAUUAAGCGCCCC